ensembl:rRNA 5S_rRNA 5S ribosomal RNA
GUUUGCAGCAGUGCCACCCUGAAUGCACCAAUCUCAUCUGAUCUUGGAAGCCAAGCAGGGUCAGGCCUGGUUAGUACUUGGAUGGAAGAAUAUCUGAUAUGUAUGUA